UACGUAGGGGGCUAGCGUUGUCCGGAAUCAUUGGGCGUAAAGAGCGUGUAGGCGGCCCGGUAAGUCCGCUGUGAAAGUCGGGGGCUCAACCCUCGAAAGCCGGUGGAUACUGUCGGGCUAGAGUGCGGAAGAGGCGAGUGGAAUUCCUGGUGUAGCGGUGAAAUGCGUAGAUAUCUGGAGGAACACCGGUGGCGAAGGCGGCAUCCUGGACCGGGAUUGACACUGAGGCGCGAAAGCCAGGGGAGCAAACGGG
rnacentral:rRNA from 1 species